AUUGAACGCUGGCGGCAGGCCUAACACAUGCAAGUCGAGCGGAGCGGCGGACGGGUGAGUAAUGCCUAGGAAUCUGCCUGGUAGUGGGGGAUAACGUCAGGACACGGGCGAUAAUACCGCAUACUAUCAGAUGAGCCUAGGUCGGAUUAGCUAGUUGGUGGGGUAAAGGCCUACCAAGGCGACGCUCCUGAACUGGUCUGAGAGGAUGAUCAGUCACACGUGCACUGAGACACGGUCCAGACUCCUACGGGUGGCAGCAGUGGGGAAUAUUGGCCAAUGGGCGAAAGCCUGAUCCAGCCAUGCCGCGUGUGUGAAGAAGUUCUUCGGAUUGUAAAGCACUUUAAGUUGGGAUUCGUUACCAACAGAAUAAGCACCGGCUAACUUCGUGCCAGCAGCCGCGGUAAUUC
rnacentral:rRNA from 1 species